rnacentral:rRNA from 1 species
AGAGUUUGAUCAUGGCUCAGGAUGAACGCUAGCUACAGGCUUAACACAUGCAAGUCGAGGGGAAACGACAUCGAAAGCUUGCUUUUGAUGGGCGUCGACCGGCGCACGGGUGAGUAACGCGUAUCCAACCUGCCCACCACUUGGGGAUAACCUUGCGAAAGUAAGACUAAUACCCAAUGAUAUCUCUAGAAGACAUCUGAAAGAGAUUAAAGAUUAUCGGUGAUGGAUGGGGAUGCGUCUGAUUAGCUUGUUGGCGGGGUAACGGCCACCAAGGCUACGAUCAGUAGGGGUUCUGAGAGGACGGUCCCCACGAUUGGAACUGGAGACACGGUCCAAACCGUCCUACGGGAGCA